rnacentral:rRNA from 1 species
ACGUUAUUCGGAAUCACUGGGCUUAAAGCGCGUGUAGGCGGGUCAGCACGUCGGGCGCUGAAAUCCCCCGGCUCAACCGGGGAACGGGCACCGAUACGACUGGCCUGGAGGGGAGUAGGGGGACCUGGAACUUCCGGUGGAGCGGUGAAAUGCGUUGAGAUCGGAAGGAACGCCCGUGGCGAAAGCGAGGUCCUGGGCUCUUACUGACGCUGAGACGCGAAAGCCA